rnacentral:rRNA from 1 species
UGGGGAAUUUUGGACAAUGGGCGAAAGCCUGAUCCAGCAAUGCCGCGUGUGUGAAGAAGGCCUUCGGGUUGUAAAGCACUUUUGUCCGGAAAGAAAUCCUUGGCUCUAAUACAGUCGGGGGAUGACGGUACCGGAAGAAUAAGCACCGGCUAACUACGUGCCAGCAGCCGCGGUAAUACGUAGGGUGCAAGCGUUAAUCGGAAUUACUGGGCGUAAAGCGUGCGCAGGCGGUUUGCUAAGACCGAUGUGAAAUCCCGGGCUCAACCUGGGAACUGCAUUGGUGACUGGCAGGCUAGAGUAUGGCAGAGGGGGGUAGAAUUCCACGUGUAGCAGUGAAAUGCGUAGAGAUGUGGAGGAAUACCGAUGGCGAAGGCAGCCCCCUGGGCAAGUACUGACGCUCAUGCACG